rnacentral:rRNA from 1 species
UACCAGCCCCCUGAGUGAUAGGGACGACUAUUUAGCCUAAAGCGUCCGUAGCCGGUUUAGUAAGUCUUUCGUUAAAUCUGACGACUUAAUCGCCAGGCCGCGGAAGAUACUGCUAGACUAGAGGGCGGGAGAGGUUGACGGUAGUCCCGGGGUAGGGGUGAAAUCCUAUAAUCCCGGGAGGACCACCAGUGGCGAAGGCGGUCAACUAGAACGCGCCUGACGGUGAGGGACGAAAGCUGGGGGAGCGAACCGGAUUAGACACCCGGGUAGUCCCAGCUGUAAACGAUGCGGGCUAGGUGUUGGAGCAGCCACGAGCUGCUCCAGUGCCGCAGAGAAGUUGUUAAGCCCGCCGCUUGGGAAGUACGGCCGCAAGGCUGAAACUUAAAGGAAUUGGCGGGGGAGCACCACAAGGGGUGAAGCCUGCGGUUCAAUUGGAGUCAACGCCGGGAAACUUACUAGGGCUGACAGCAGGGUGAAGGCCAGACUAAAGAUCUUGCCAGACAAGCUGAGAGGUGGCGCAUGGCCGUCGACAGUUCGUGCCGUGAGGUGUCCUGUUAAGUCAGGCAACGAACGAGACCCUCACUGUUAGUUGCCAGCGGGUUCCAACGGAAUGCCGGGCACACUAAUGGGACCGCCACUGAUAAGGUGGAGGAGGGAGGGGGCCACGGCAGGUCAGUAUGCCCCGAAUGCCCUAGGCCACACGCGGGCUGCAAUGGUAGGGACAGAGGGUUCUGACCUCGAAAGGGGAAAGUAAUCCCUAAACCCUAUCGCAGUUGGAAUUGAGGGCUGUAACUCGCCCUCAUGAAUCUGGAAUCCCUAGUAAUCGCGCGUCAUCAUCGCGCGGUGAAUACGUCCCCGCUCCU